AGAGAGAGACAUGCGCGCAUAUCAAUAAGCGGAGGAAAAGAAACUAACAAGGAUUCCCUUAGUAACGGCGGGUGAAGCGGGAAGAGCUCAAAUUUGAAAUCUUCAAGGUUUUACCUUGACGAAUUGUAGUUUAAAGAAGUGUUUUCUGCUGAAGUUUUGGUAAAAGUUCUUUGGAAUAGGACAUCAUAGAGGGUGAGAAUCCCGUAUUUGACCAUUAUUUUCAGCUUUGUGAUACACUUUCAAAGAGUCGGAUUGUUUGGGAAUGCAGUCCAAAAUGGGUGGUAAAUUUCAUCUAAAGCUAAAUAUUGGCGAGAGACCGAUAGCGAACAAGUACCGUGAGGGAAAGAUGAAAAGAACUUUGAAAAGAGAGUUAAACAGUACGUGAAAUUGUCAAAAGGGAAGCGUUUGACACCAGUGUUGUUUUCUCGAAAAUCAAUUAAAAAUGGCUCGAUUUUGUAUUGCUUGAGACCUUAAAAGCUCACUGUACAUUUUUCGUGUCUUUUUUAAUGCACUUUUCGUUUAACAAGUCAACAUCAGUUUCUUUUGUUGUAAAAGGGUCAUUGGAAGGUGGCUUUCUUUUCGGAGAAAGUGUUUAUAGCCUUUGGCCUCUGCAAUCGGAAGAGACUGAGGUCUGCAGCGUAGACUCUUCGGGGUUAGAUACAUUUGUGCUAAGUUAUAGCUUUUUAUAGACAACUUGUUGACUAUAAUUAGUCUUGUAGCUUACUCGCUUAUGCUAUUUUACCUACGCUUAGGAUGUUGAGUCGUAGAGCACGCAG
rnacentral:rRNA from 1 species